UUGGAGGGCAAGUCUGGUGCCAGCAGCCGCGGUAAUUCCAGCUCCAAUAGCGUAUAUUAAAGUUGUUGCAGUUAAAAAGCUCGUAGUUGAAUUUCGGGGUUAGUAGGUUGGUCGUGCCUCAGGUAUGUACUGAUCUCACUGAUUCCUCCUUCCUGAUGAACCGUAAUGCCAUUAAUUUGGUGUUGCGGGGAAACUGGACUGUUACUUUGAAAAAAUUAGAGUGUUUAAAGCAGGCUAACGCUUGAAUACAUUAGCAUGGAAUAAUGAAAUAGGACGAUCGAUCCUAUUUUGUUGGUUUCUAGGAUUGACGUAAUGAUUAAUAGGGAUAGUUGGGGGCAUUAGUAUUCAAUUGUCAGAGGUGAAAUUCUUGGAUUUAUUGAAGACUAACUACUGCGAAAGCAUUUGCCAAGGAUGUUUUCAUUAAUCAAGAACGAAAGUUAGGGGAUCGAAGACGAUCAGAUACCGUCGUAGUCUUAACCAUAAACUAUGCCGACUAGGGAUCGGAUGAUGUUAAUUUUUUAAUGACUCAUUCGGCGCCUUACGGGAAA
rnacentral:rRNA from 1 species